UACAGAGGUCUCAACCGUUGUUCGGAUUCAUUGGGCGUAAAGGGUGCGUAGGCGGUCGCGCAAGUCGGAUGUGAAAUCUCAGGGCUCAACCCUGAAGCUGCAUUCGAUACUGCGUGGCUAGAGUGCUGGAGAGGAGACUGGAAUUUACGGUGUAGCAGUGAAAUGCGUAGAUAUCGUAAGGAAGACCAGUGGCGAAGGCGAGUCUCUGGACAGCAACUGACGCUGAGGCACGAAGGCCAGGGGAGCAAACGGG
rnacentral:rRNA from 1 species